GAUGAACGCUGGCGGCGUGCCUAAUACAUGCAAGUCGAGCGAACAGGCGAGGAGCUUGCUCCUCUGACGUUAGCGGCGGACGGGUGAGUAACACGUGGAUAACCUACCUAUAAGACUGGGAUAACUUCGGGAAAACGGAGCUAAUACCGGAUAACAUGUUGAACCGCAUGGUUCAACAGUGAAAGACGGUCUUGCUGUCACUUAUAGAUGGAUCCGCGCCGCAUUAGCUAGUUGGUAAGGUAACGGCUUACCAAGGCAACGAUGCGUAGCCGACCUGAGAGGGUGAUCGGCCACACUGGAACUGAGACACGGUCCAGACUCCUACGGGAGGCAGCAGUAGGGAAUCUUCCGCAAUGGGCGAAAGCCUGACGGAGCAACGCCGCGUGAGUGAAGAAGGUCUUCGGAUCGUAAAACUCUGUUAUUAGGGAAGAACAAAUGUGUAAGUAACUAUGCACGUCUUGACGGUACCUAAUCAGAAAGCCACGGCUAACUACGUG
rnacentral:rRNA from 1 species